UGUCACAUGAUGGGAUCAUUUUAUCUACUUGGUUGUGGACGAAAGUGCCUCUUCUAUGGUGGAUGCCCGUACCCUCACCUGAGGGCCAGCCAUUGACCACUGCCCAGAAAUCUCACCUAACGCCACUUCUACAUAAAACUAUGAGCAGGGCAAGGAUUCAAUAUGAUGUUUACUCCAACUACAUCAUUCCCAUUUAUGCAUUUGGGAACUGAGGAAACGACAACUGGGUCUGAGGCCGACUUCCAAUCCUCUCGUUAUGACAGCACAACAAGAAUCUGAGGCAUUUGACAAUAUCACUGAGUGGACUACAGUUUUUUGAGAAACCCAGUGACUUUCUUAAUUGGA